GCCCCACAGUGUGGCUACAGCUGGUUCAAAGAACAAAAUGACCUCACAAGAUAUAUCACCCCCAUUCUCCAGCAAGGAGGCCCAGGAUGAGGGUCCCAUUGUACAAGAAAAAGACCUCAGCCCAUCCUCCCCAGAAAUACCCCAGGGACACCUCAGUGGCCGGAGGCAGACUGCACCCAGAGCCCCCUUUAGAAAGCGCAUUUGGAAGAGCCUACAGAGCAGUAUUAUAAAAGGCCUAAGAAGUUUGUGUUGCUGCCUACCAACGGAAAAGAGGGAGCGCCUAGGCUGCAACAAAAUCCUGCCUGUGAGCUUAAAGGACCACGGAGGCAGCCAAGGUGACAGUGCUGUUGGAGGCACUGUGCUCCCCGUAAGCUGAAACCAGAGAGUGGAGAGCAGCAUGCUGAAGAUGCACGCGGCGCAGGAGAGCCAGGUAGGUUCAUGAUGGCUGGUGGUGCCACAAUUGUGCCAGUAAAGUGAAGCACUCUGUGGGACCGGAAGUCCUUUAAACAAGGAUCCACGGAGUGCUGUGGUCAUUAGGAAAACAGGCCUCAGAGGACCUUCCAAGCACAGAGAGAUCAUCAGUCCAGCUACCUGUCUCCAGGUAUACCUAUGAGUCAUUAGAAGAGACAGCAGCACUGGAAGCAGAGGAGGACUCCAGAGGUCUGCCCAGUUUGUAUGUGUUCAAGAUGAAUAUUGCUGACCAGGUUGGAGCCAAAAACAGAGGGACGAGUUUGCAUGGAGUGUCCAUCUUGUGCUCAUUUGGCAAGGUAGAGUGCGUGGGAACAGGUGAGUCCAUUAUUUAUGGUGCAGCUCUCAGCACCAUCCUGGCCUACUAGACAGCUUGCUUCCUGUUCCCACCAGAUCCAGACACCUUCACACCUCACCCCAGCACUAUUACUGGUGAACCUGCUUGUUGCUUUGCAACCUGAGUCAUGUGGAUGCACUCUUCUGUACUCUGUAUCUGGACAGACACACACACACACACACACACACACACACACACACACACACACACACUCCUUCCAAUGUACCUCAUGCAUAGUUGACACUAGUGAAGUUUGCUUGAAUGGGAGAGGAUUCCCAUUCAAGCAAGGUAAUUUCAUAUUCCAUGUGAUUUCCCUCCUGGAAAUGCCUCAAAUUCCUCUAACUCAGCUUGUUCCUGUCUCUAUCCCCAACGCAAUCACUUACCACCCUGCUCUACUGCUUCGCAGGAGCCAUGUGAAGCCAGCACAUGCCAUGGUGCACAUUUUGCCCCAGGGCAUCCAUUCCUGUGCAAGGUAAGACCCACCAGCUGUGCUUUGAGUGGAAGCAAGGUGAAGUCUGGAGUGUUUGACAGUUGGAUUCAGAGAUGGAGCUGGUUCUAAGCGUGAUCGUGGAUAGAAUCUGUAGAUGGAAAAACAAUGGCAACCCCCAGCCUGACAGUGAGGGUGUUCCUCUGGGUGGCUCAUGGUCUCCUGCCAUAUUCCUACCUCCUAAGAUAACUCAGAGACACCUAAAGGGAUUUAAGGGGUCAAAUUCACAACCCUCCUUAGGCCCACACUGUAGUAUACCCAAAACCGCACCUUAGUACACCCCAAGAUACUAUUUUCAGCAGUAUUUCAUACAAAGAUCCCAGCUGUUUUCUUUCUGACAUCCUGUAGGGACAUUGCUGUUGCUGAGGCUUUGUGUCCCCAGGCAGCAGGCUGGGAAAGACCUUUGCUGCCUGUGUGACCCUAUACUGGGGCUAUCUGAGAGACUCCUGGGACCAUACUCAGCAAGAGACAUUUUCAACUGGAUGGUGCUUAGAGCAGGAGAUGCCACUCAAGCCCUAACACACUGGAUGGAAGGGGGACACACAGGUCUCCUUGAUGGAAGAGGCUUCUUCUGAUUGACAGAGAAUUUGGGCCAGAAACUUACAAGCAGAUGGACUAAGAGCAACAAGAGAAAAUGUCUACUGAUCCAGGUGAAGAUCAUCCAUUGAAGAUAUGCUCAGAGCUUGGCAUAAGAUUGUUCUGCAAAGGUGUUACCAAGAAAGACAGGCACCAGACAAAAAGAUAUAUGGCACAAAUAUCUGAAUAAAGAGACCGUUUUCUUGCUACAAUAAAUUCCUUUGUAUAUUUGAAGCA